GACGAACGCUGGCGGCGUGCUUAACACAUGCAAGUCGAACGGAAAGGCCCUGCUUUUGUGGGGUGCUCGAGUGGCGAACGGGUGAGUAACAAGUGAGUAACCUGCCCUUGACUUUGGGAUAACUUCAGGAAACUGGGGCUAAUAACGGAUAGGAGCCCCUGCUGCAUGGUGGGGGUUGGAAAGUUUCGGCGGUUGGGGAUGGACUCGCGGCUUAUCAGCUUGUUGGUGGGGUAGUGGCUUACCAAGGCUUUGACGGGUAGCCGGCCUGAGAGGGUGACCGGCCACAUUGGGACUGAGAUACGGCCCAGACUCCUACGGGAGGCAGCAGUGGGGAAUAUUGCACAAUGGGCGGAAGCCUGAUGCAGCAACGCCGCGUGCGGGAUGACGGCCUUCGGGUUGUAAACCGCUUUCGCCUGUGACGAAGCGUGAGUGACGGUAAUGGGUAAAGAAGCACCGGCUAACUACGUG
rnacentral:rRNA from 1 species